rnacentral:rRNA from 1 species
GUAAACGAUGAAUACUAGGUGUGGGAGGUAUCGACUCCUCCCGUGCCGCAGCUAACGCAAUAAGUAUUCCGCCUGGGGAGUACGGCCGCAAGGUUGAAACUCAAAGAAAUUGACGGGGACCCGCACAAGCAGCGGAGCAUGUGGUUUAAUUCGAAGCAACGCGAAGAACCUUACCAGGGCUUGACAUCAAUUGACCACCUAAGAGAUUAGGUUUCCCUUCGGGGCAAGAAGACAGGUGGUGCAUGGUUGUCGUCAGCUCGUGUCGUGAGAUGUUGGGUUAAGUCCCGCAACGAGCGCAACCCUUAUAUACAGUUGCCAAUAUUCAGUUAGGAACUCUGUAUAAACUGCCGUGGUUAACACGGAGGAAGGUGGGGAUGACGUCAAAUCAUCACGCCCCUUACGUCCUGGGCUACACACGUGCUACAAUGGCUAUUACAAAGAGCAGCUAAACAGUAAUGUCAAGCGAAUCUCAAAAAGAUAGUCUCAGUUCAGAU